AUCUCGGACCUCAAAGAUUGCGUGGUGUCGACACUACGAUGAAAGUGCUGUGCGCGCUGCGGUUUUUUGCCACCGGGAGCUUUCAACAGUGCGUCGGGAAUGAAGAAGCGAUUGCACUGUCGUAGCCUUCGGUCAGCCGGAUCAUUACAGCUGUCGCCAAGGCCAUUACGGUUGCGGGCAAGGAAAAAGGAUGGGUUAGAUUCCCAUCCACGGCGCAACAGAAAGCCGCCGUCAAGGAAGGCUUUCUUAGCCGUGGAAAAAUUCCAGGAGUUCUAGGAUGUGUGGACGGGAGUCUGAUAGCCAUCGUUCGCCCUAAGAAGCUCGGCCCCGGCGAAACGGAAUCGUACUGGAGCCGUAAAGGGUAUUACACCCUCAACUGCAUGGUCGUGUGCGACGCGAAGCUGAAUAUCCUGGAAAUUGACCCACGGUUUCCGGGAUCGUGCCACGAUUCAUUCGUCUGGAGGCAUUCUACAUUUCGCCGCCGCCUCACUCGUGGCCUGUUACUUCAUGGAGAAGUCUUGCUUGGGGACUCUGGGUACCGGCUAGCGCCAUGGAUCAUGACUCCUGUGCCUGGUCACCCAAAUCGCCUCACGGCAGAGGGGCGCUAUAAUGAGGCACACGCAUCAAUGCGAAAUGCCGUUGAGCGGUACAUAGGAGUCGUCAAGAGCCGCUUCCGAUGCCUGCAGAUGUAUCGGGUGCUCCACUACUCGCCUCAGAAAGCAGCCACUAUUGUUGCAGCUUGUGCAGCGCUGCAUAACCUCUGCCUUGCAGCAGGCGUGCCUCUGCCAGACGACCCAGAUGAUGACGGUGCACAUGACGACAGCGCACAGCGGCCAGCCCAGGCACAAGUGCCGCUUCAAGUACAGGUGCCACCGCAGGCGCACCCUGUACAGCCUUCUCGAGCUUUGUUUCAAUGAGGCCGUGCGGUGCGCGAAUCCAUAGUUGGUGUGUUUCGGCUGCCCAGAAAUUUGCGCAUUGCCUACCUGCAAAGUGUGCGCCGGCGCAUUCGCUGGCAAAUGAGGCGGAGACAUGUGCUGGUGGAACAUGUUUUAUUUUUCUUUUCAUGAAGUAAAUAGGCCGUGCACUUCAACAUAACACAUUGCGUGUGCUCACAUGUGGCUAAUCGUAGUAUGCUGCAUACUGCGGUAGUGAAAAGCACAUGAUUUGUCUAUGUUGAGCAUGACAGAUACACAUGCAGUGACAAAUAGCCAUGUGCCAUUAUGUUACUCCUUUGCUUUGUUCACUGUGCUUUUGAAUAUUGUCUUGCCAGGGAAUUUUCUUUAAAUAAAGGUUAUUUCCAAGGUGAAUGGCAACCAAUCUUGCAUAGUUGAAUAUUGCUUUGCGAUGCCUAUUUUACUGUGCAGUAUGCAUUGUUCCAAAGCUGAAGGUGUCUGUUCAUGUGUGACACACAAGCACAGCACAAGUUGCACAGCAACUGAAAUGUCGUUCAAAGCAAUCUGUAUAGCACAUAUUGAAACGUAUAGCAACAAACGAGACAUGCCAAGCACUUUUUGGAGCAGGAUUUCUUUACAUAGCAGACACUCAUGCUUACUACUGCUUUGUUUAAACUCAAGAGUUGCUUCAACAUUGCAUUUCUUGCACGCAUGAUUUCACAUAAUGCUCGUAAUUGCUGCUUAACAAGGUGCAACUACGCUAUAACACAAUAUAAACAAAAUCAUGACAAUGAAACAUUUCUUUAUUUUAUUCACUGGGUACCUGCUUCGCCAUUCAGGCAUUACAGCAGGGAGGGUACAACUCAUAUAAAUGAACACUCAAAAUUACAUUCAUAAAGCAUGGAAGAAAUCAUCAUUUGAACAAAUACAGACAGUGUCAGGUGGUAGAGUAUUUCAAUCUCUUAUAGUACGAACAUAGAAAGAGUAGCGGAAAGCGUCGCUUUUAACCUUCUAUUGCAUGGCGUCCCAUAUUUGGCACAUACCAGUUACCAUUCUUUUUCGCUUGUGUGAGAUUCCCAGUUGAGAAUGUGAUACCAUCAGAGUAAAUCUCAUAGUUAUGCGCACUUAUUAUGAGCAAGUGCUGCCAUCUCUUGAGCGAUACGCAAAACAGAGGUGAAGUAGAUUUUGGGAUGCAACGUGAAACUUGGAGGGGGCAAACACGAGCAAUUGUUUUUUUUUUCUCUGAAAAUUUCGACCGCAGAAGCAUAGAAAAAUUAUUUUGGCAUAUUUUUUGGUCUCGUCAAUUCAAGGCAGUUACUAGUUUUCUCAAUUUUGCCUGCAACUACAGCAGAGAAACCGAAAUCGGUGUGUGCCAUAUUGGCACAGUAUGAACUUGAAAUACAAAAUAUGGUAACGUGCUGCCAUCUGUUCAAUAGCCCGAAGUUGCAGGUCACUCUAUCACAAGAUGGAAUUUUGACGAUCGGUACGGUAAGGGCGAAUUGUCUACCAAACAGCCGCCUGAAAAGCGAAAAGGAACUGAAAUGUAAAGGACGUGGUGCUUCAGAGGCACUCACAAACGCGAUACAUGACGUGGAGUUAUCGUGUGUGCGUUGAUACGAUAACCGCGCAGUGACAUUUCUGCCGAGCUUUGUUGGGAGAGAUCCAGUCCAAAAGACUAAGCGCUGGUUUACCUCCGCCAAGGUGUUUCGCGAAAUUGAUUGCCCCAGCGUAGUAAAGGUCCAUAACAGGCACAUGGGUGGUGUUGACCUGCUGCACUCACUGUUUGGACUUUACUGCAUACAUAUCAGAGGUCGAAGAAAUGGCACUUUCGAAUUUUUACGCCUAUGCUAGACUUAUCGGUAGUAACAGCAUGGGUCUUGUACAGGAGGGUGCAGGAGCAGCUUAGGAGGAGACAAGUACUACCGCUGGCUCAUUUAAAAGCAGAAAUUGCAGAAUGCCUUACCUCGCAUAACAAGUGCCUACCCAACUAGCGACCAGGAAGGACUUCUAGUCAGGACAUCGAAUUCCAGGUUCAAGUCAAAAAAGCACAGGGACCAGCGGCCGCAAUGCCACCCAAAGACGACCGAUCUGACCAAGUCGGCCACUGGCCAGAAUUUGACGAGAAGAAACAAAGAUGUAAGCGGCCACCUUGCACAAACAAGUCGUUGGUAAGAUAGAGGAAGUGCAACAUUCAUCUGUGCCUGAACGCAGCAAACAACUGUUUCAUUUCAUUCCCCACAUCGCACUAAAAAGACCACCGUCCGUGAAGGUUUGUUUUCCGCCCAUGGCUGCAAGAGCGCUCAGCCAUCUUCAUGGUGUGCCAUAUUUGGCACAAAGCUUUAUCUUUAUUAUUACAGUCGUGUUUGCUCA